rnacentral:ncRNA from 2 species
CAACGAAAUCCACCCUUUCGGGUGGGUGAAAUACUGCUUCGCGGUGUGAUAUACGCCUGCGGUGUGUGAAAUCGCUG